AAAACUUGCCUGAACCAUUGAUUACCGUAACGCAAUAUAAUAAGCUUCUCCUGAAGACCUAAUAUUAAUAAUAUAGAUCUCCAAUAUUAGAAUAAUAUCAUCACCGUUAUAAAAUAACUUAAACACAUAAUCCUAUCAGUCUAUACAGCAUAUAAAACCUAUAAUAGAUCUUUCGGUUAGUCAUAACAUAUAGUUAAGUAUUAGACAUUAGUUUUAAGUCUUAAUAUUAUUAUUAUACUUUGAUAUUCUUUUAAUCACAUCAUAACUUGUACUUAUAAGUUAUUCAUUUUUAUAUGUUAUCCUAGUAAAUUAGAUAACAUCUUAGUAAACCGAAAUACCAUUUCAGUAAGACGGAUUUUAUUUCAGUAUCCCGAAAUCACUAUUCUUUUUCACGAAAAAUACCAAAUCAACUUAUUAUUUUUUUAUCCUUUGGUCAAACAUAUAUACAUGUAUUUCAUACAUAAAAAAUAUUUUUCCGUAAUUUUUCAAUUUCUUUUACUAUUUUUCAAAAAUCAUAAUUAGUGUGUGACUUAAGAAAAUUAGCUACCUCAUGCUUAACUCCAGAGGUGCCCAUCUUUUGACAUAACCUUAUAUAUGUUAACGUGAUGCUCCAUUUUAAAUUUCGUGGCAAUCAGAGUUGUAGAACUCCGAUUAUAGCGAUUUCCGUCGGAAAAUCACAAAAAUUAGAAUAGUCAUAACUUGGCCAUUUUAACUCGGAAUUAGCUCAUUUUUGGACAUGAGCUACAUAAUACCACAUAUUUUCAUUUCCCAAAAGACCAGAAUUUUUCUCACAAAAUAAAUUACCGAAACAGCCUCCGGAAAAGUUUUGGCAGUUUACUUUUGCACAUAUGCAGUUUUGGAGUCCUUUACCAAAACUUAAAUAAAAUGAAAUCUAUAACUCCGAUUAAUGAUCUGUCAAUUUUUUUUUUGGAUUCGUAUCUUUCCGAAGUACAGUUUUCAUCUAUCACAAUCCAUAUUUGGACAUGUUAAGCUCCCGGAAAUUAGCCCGGAAGUGGCUGUUACAAACUGUUACUCUAACAGUUUUUCUUACCUUUGAGUAGUUUGGGAGAAAUUUCAUAACUCUCUCCUCCGAUGUCGGAUUUAGUCCGUUUCGGAGUCUAUGGAAAGCUUAUUGAGUGUAAUAUAACAUUCCAAAAGCCCAGAAAUUUUAGAGCAAGCAAGAUAACCCCGAAAUUUCCUUUUUAUGGCAGCAACUUUUUGGCCAAAAAAAAAAGUUUUGGGGUCCUUCACCGUAAAAUCCAUAUCUCUCAAACCGUAUGGCCAACAAUUCUCAAUGUUUUACACAACCUGCAUAUCUACUGAUAUUAACACCCCAAAUUUUUUCCAGAAUUUAUAAAGCACAAAAAGGGGACGAAAAUGCCCCUGCUACGGACUGAUCCGAAACAGUUCCUAGAAACGGGACUGUUUUCACAUAAAUCAACACCACUACUUUUAGAAAAGUGAUUUUUGAGUUCUACCACUUGGGUUAACUACUAAACACGUAUAUUUAGCACCCCUCUUUGACGGAUCGCAAAAAGGAAUUUUAGAUUUAAAACGGUGAAAUUUCAAAGUAUAUAGAAAUUUUGAUUUUCAAAACUAGAAAAUUAUUUUUCCUUAUUCUUUUGAUUCCCACCAAAUCAACACCCAAUAUGGUUAUAUCUAAACAUGAAACACUCAUUAACACAUAUAUCUAAGGUUUUUGAGUUUAGAAACAUAAAUCCAAGCUUUGAUUUGGAAAACUAAAAUCAAUUGCAUAAACUAAUUUUAGGAUUUACCUUUUUCUUAAGCCUUCCUUCUUCUUCUUCUUCCUUCUUCCUUCUUCCUUCUUCCUUCUUCCAUGGAUGAACUUUCUCUUUCUAAUCUUUAUAAAAUUGAUUGCAAUUGAUUGAGGGUUGAUUAUUGCUAGAGAUAUAGAGUCACCACUCAAUCAACCAACUAAAUUAUUGCUCAUAGGAUUCUCUAGGAAAUAAUUCACCAAGAUGGGACAAAAAGGGUAAAAUGGACAUUUCCAUAUCAAUAAUUGAUUUCUUUUUUUUUUUUUUUUUAUUUAGCAUACCAAAUGUCCAAUAUGUCCCUCCUUAAUUGGGCUUAAAUUUGGGCCACCAUUUCCAUCUUUUGGGCUAUCAAUAAAUAAUAUAUUGGACUUAAAAUUUAAUUCUUUGGGCCAUGUAAAUUAACAUAGUCAAAUUCUUUUCUAUCUUACCCAACCCUAAAUAUUUAAUUAGGAUAUCCAAUCUAAAUAUUUAAUUAGAGUAUCAUUCCAAAUAAUUAGAAUUUAAAUCAUCACUCUAC
rnacentral:lncRNA from 1 species